CGGCGUGCUUAACACAUGCAAGUCGAACGGUGAAAGAGGAAGCUUGCUUCUUCUGGAUCAGUGGCGAACGGGUGAGUAACACGUGAGUAACCUGCCCUUGACUCUGGGAUAAGCGUUGGAAACGACGUCUAAUACCGGAUACGAGCUUCAGCCGCAUGGCUAGGAGCUGGAAAGAACUUCGGUCAAGGAUGGACUCGCGGCCUAUCAGCUAGUUGGUGAGGUAACGGCCCACCAAGGCGACGACGGGUAGCCGGCCUGAGAGGGUGACCGGCCACACUGGGACUGAGACACGGCCCAGACUCCUACGGGAGGCAGCAGUGGGGAAUAUUGCACAAUGGGCGCAAGCCUGAUGCAGCAACGCCGCGUGAGGGACGACGGCCUUCGGGUUGUAAACCUCUUUUAGUAGGGAAGAAGCGAAAGUGACGGU
rnacentral:rRNA from 1 species